rnacentral:rRNA from 1 species
AUGCAGUCGAGGGGUAUAUUUCUUCGGAGAUAGAGACCGGCGCACGGGUGCGUAACGCGUAUGCAAUCUACCUUUCACAGAGGGAUAGCCCAGAGAAAUUUGGAUUAAUACCUCAUAGUAUAGUGAUACCGCAUGGUACUACUAUUAAAGUCACAACGGUGAAAGAUGGGCAUGCGUCCCAUUAGCUAGUUGGUAAGGUAACGGCUUACCAAGGCUACGAUGGGUAGGGGUCCUGAGAGGGAGAUCCCCCACACUGGUACUGAGACACGGACCAGACUCCUACGGGAGGCAGCAGUGAGGAAUAUUGGACAAUGGGCGCAAGCCUGAUCCAGCCAUGCCGCGUGCAGGAUGACGGUCCUAUGGAUUGUAAACUGCUUUUGCACAGGAAGAAACAACGCUACGUGUAGCGUCUUGACGGUACUGUGAGAAUAAGGAUCGGCUAACUCCGUGCCAGCAGCCGCGGUAAUACGGAGGAUCCAAGCGUUAUCCGGAAUCAUUGGGUUUAAAGGGUCCGUAGGCGGUUUAGUAAGUCAGUGGUGAAAGCCCAUCGCUCAACGGUGGAACGGCCAUUGAUACUGCUAGACUUGAAUUAUUAGGAAGUAACUAGAAUAUGUAGUGUAGCGGUGAAAUGCUUAGAGAUUACAUGGAAUACCAAUUGCGAAGGCAGGUUACUACUAAUUGAUUGACGCUGAUGGACG